rnacentral:rRNA from 1 species
GACGAACGCUGGCGGCGUGCUUAACACAUGCAAGUCGAACGGAAAGGCCCUGCUUUGUUGGGGUGCUCGAGUGGCGAACGGGUGAGUAACCCGUGAGUAACCUGCCCUUGACUUUGGGAUAACUUCAGGAAACUGGGGCUAAUACCGGAUAGGAGCUCCUGCUUCAUGGUGGGGGUUGGAAAGUUUCGGCGGUUGGGGAUGGACUCGCGUCUUAUCAGCUUGUUGGUGGGGUAGUGGCUUACCAAGGCUUUGACGGGUAGCCGGCCUGAGAGGGUGACCGGCCACAUUGGGACUGAGAUACGGCCCAGACUCCUCCGGGAGGCAGCAGUGGGGAAUAUUGCACAAUGGGCGGAAGCCUGAUGCAGCAACGCCGCGUGCGGGAUGACGGCCUUCGGGUUGUGUACCGCUUUCGCCUGUGACGAAGCGUGAGUGACGGUAAUGGGUAAAGAAGCACCGGCUAACUACGUG